rnacentral:lncRNA from 10 species
GUGACAUCUGACCCAUGGUCUACAUUUCUUUGAAAACAUUGUAUUUGGAUACACACACACACACACACACACACACACACACUAGCUUUUGUUUCUUAGAAAAGCAGCUCCUUGAGGGAGCCAUUACUUUGCUGUAUUAUGUACAAUAAUGUGGGUGCUACAUGAAUGUUAAGUACUACUGCUAAUGUUACUGGUAAUUCACUGGUGAGGCAUUUUGUGAGUCACCACUUACUGUGUGUUCACAAUGUUCACAAUGUUUGAACUUGGUUAUACAAAUGUAUCAAGUUAUUUUUUAUAUGAAAUUGACUAUUAGGAUAUUUAAUCAUCCAAGUCAGAGUCAAGGACUGGCACUUUAAACAUUUUUUUUUUCCACUUUCAAUUUUGGAACAAUUUGAAAAUUGAAGAAAAGUUGAAAGAAUCAUACAAAAAAAGGGAGAUAUGCUUCCUGAGAGAAAGGACCACGCUUCUCCUGUUUACCAUGCUGUCUCCCACUCUAGCACAUCCUUCAGCGAUGCUGACCGGUGGAAACCAGAGCAGUACCUCGUGUAUACUACGCUAUCGUAAGCUAUUAUAAGCAUUGUUCUUUUUCUUCUCCCACCCAGAAACCUGAAGGUUUUCUUUUCCUUACUCUGUUCCUCUGUGAGUUUUGAGAAUUUCUGUACCUCUCUUAUGAUACACGAUAU